CCUACGGGUGGCAGCAGUGAGGAAUAUUGGUCAAUGGACGAGAGUCUGAACCAGCCAAGUCGCGUGAAGGAUGACUGCCCUAUGGGUUGUAAACUUCUUUUAUAUGGGAAUAAAAUGUUCCACGUGUGGGAUUUUGUAUGUACCAUAUGAAUAAGGAUCGGCUAACUCCGUGCCAGCAGCCGCGGUAAUACGGAGGAUCCGAGCGUUAUCCGGAUUUAUUGGGUUUAAGGGGAGCGUAGGUGGAUUGUUAAGUCAGUUGUGAAAGUUUGCGGCUCAACCGUAACAUUGCAGUUGAAACUGGCAGUCUUGAGUACAGUAGAGGUGGGCGGAAUUCGUGGUGUAGCGGUGAAAUGCUUAGAUAUCACGAAGAACUCCGAUUGCGAAGGCAGUUCACUGGACUGCAACUGACACUGAGGCUCGAAAGUGUGGGUAUCAAACAGGAUUAGAUACCCGAGUAGUC
rnacentral:rRNA from 1 species